rnacentral:lncRNA from 1 species
AAGGAUGCUGUGCCUGGAGUUUGCUUUAAAGCAACCUCGGAAGGGGAAGGGGAGGCGGAGGGGUUUGCUGGGCUGAGCCGGGCGGGCCAGGAGUCGCCCCCCCCCCCCCCCCCCCCUCGCCGUGUGCCGAGGCUCCCAUGUGGUGCAAAGUCUCAGAAAACAAAGAAAACGUGCCCCCGUGACGCCAGCGCUGGGACCGCCUCUGAGAAGGGCCGAGGGAAGCCCCGAGGGCCGGGGGCUCGGACACGGGAUCCGCACCGCGGGGCUCAGCUCCUGCCUGAGGAAAGGCUUCGGGCCGACUCCGCCGGGCCCAGGGCGCAGCAGCCGGGCACGUGCACCCUCGUCGCCCCCGCCCCGCCCCGCCCCGCCGCCCAGAGGCUGACCGGCCGCCCACCAGCGAGUCCGCCCAGCCGCGUCCUGCCGCCAGGGAGCUCGGGCCCGCGGCGGCUUGCAGCGUGUAGACCACCGCGCGGCCCGUGUAGACGGCACAGCGCAGGCGGCAGCUCGGCCGUCCGGGGAGAAGGCGCCCGCGAGGCCGCACAGCGCUGCCCGGCACAGUCGCCCACGGGGCGGACGGGGCGGACGGGGCGCCGCUGCGAAGGCGUCGGCCCGAGGCUCGCGGGCUCCGGCCUGCAGAUCCGCGGACCCGGGGACCGAGAUCCACCCGGCGACGAGCACACCCCGUGGGCGCCCUGGGCCUCGCGCGUGGCCGCCACCUGCUUACGGGGAACCGCGCGGGCGGCGGCAGCGGGCGGGCCCGGGGGUGGGGGGGAGGGGGCGGCACCAGGACGGCGCCCGCACGCCCACGCCCACGCCCCACCGAGAGGACCUCCGGCGCGUCCUAGAGUGACCGCUCGCCGGCACCUCCCGCGGCGCACUUCCGCCCGCAGCCCGGCCCCGCACCACCGAGAGGAUCUCCGGGGCGUCCUAGAGCGGCCGCUCGCCGUCACCGGCCGCGGCGUACUUCCGCCCACGCCGAGCCCUCGCAGGGGGCCCGGUACCACCGAGAGGACCUCCGGCGCGCCCUAG